ACAAGAUGUAAUUUGGCUCUGACUUAUAAAAUGUGUCAUAUCAAGUAAGAAAGAAAUACACCACAUAUUGACUCAUGUAUCAUAAUUCUAAAGCAUUAGCAUUACAAGUCUUGCUACUCUUACCUAAAUAGUACCAAGUAAUUUUUCCCUGUCACAAGCCACAUUCACAUAUGUUUUACAGCAACUGUUGAUAUUAACCAUUGUUUUCCAUUUCUAAAAUUAACAAACAAUGUUUUUGUGUUGCUAUGAUUGUACUGCUACAACCUUGAGAGUCACCACAACAACAAUUCACCACUGCCGCAGAGCAGCAACCCGCAUGUUCCUCCAUUACAAACUCACUUCAACAUCAGAAAAGCCUAAAUAUCAUUAAAAAUCAGCAGUUAGAGCCAAAAGGUUAUUUGCAAAACAGCCUCAAUUUAUGCCAAAUUCUUUUGUCAUUUGGAUAUAAUGUGUGUGCCAAUCCAGACUAAGUAUUUUAUUAGCAGUUCGAACCAAGUUUUGUUAAGUUUUGGUCUAUCAAUGUUAGACAAACAAUCACUCCAAAUUUCCUUAUCAACUGCUAAUAAUGUUUUAAUUGAAUAUUAUUAUUAGUAUUAUUGUUUCUAGGGUUAAUGGUGCUUUACCCCCUGUAAUAUAGGUCAUUUUUAGUUUUCCCCCUGUAAAAUUUUUUUUUUUUAUUUACCCCCCUGUAAAAUAUCUUUAUUUUUUUUUUGCAGAAUUUUUUCGUUUUUUUAUGACCUAUUAGGGAGGUAUUCCAAAAAAAAAAAAAUUUUACAGAGGUGUAAAUCAAAAAAUAUAUUUUACAGGGGAAAAACCAAAAAUGACCUAUAUUACAGGGGGUAAAGCACCAUUAACCCUUAUUUCUAUUAUUACUAUUGAGCUAUCAUUGUGCAAAACUAGCAAAAUGUAUAAUCUAAGAUUUUUUAUCUUACCUCAUGUCAUUUGUAACUUUAGAUAAAAUGAUGCGGCAAAUAAACCAUGACUCCUCAGUAGAAGAGAAUGGUGCUCCAAACAACAGACAUCCAAAUCUACCCUUUUUCAGCUUUAAAACGAUAAUGACAGCUACAAAAAAUUGUGAUCAUAAGAAUAAGCUUGGACAAGGUGGAUUUGGCUCUGUCUACAAGGUGAGUGAAACUCUACAUUAAGCUACUGAUGCAAGAAGUGACAACAUCAGUCACCUCUUUAUAUUCAUUUCAAUCACAUUAUUAAAAAAUGGUGCAAAAAUAAUGAAAUAUGAUUUAAGAGAUAAAUAUUUCAGGGUUGCUUGGUUAAUGGACAAGAGAUUGCAGUUAAAAGAUUGUCCAGAGAUUCUGGUCAAGGCAAAGUAGAGUUUAAAAAUGAAAUUACACUUUUAGUUAAACUCCAACACAGAAAUCUAGUGAGGUUGCUCGGUUGUUGCUUUGAAAAAGAAGAAAGGAUGUUAGUUUAUGAAUACCUACCAAACAAAAGCCUAGACUUCUUUAUAUUCGGUAUGUCUCUCUCUGACUCACUCAUUGUCUUUCUGACCUGAAUAAACUUGUAUGUAUACAAGCCUAAAGCGUAGUGACUUAAUGUAACAUGUAACGCUCGAGCUUAUGCUAAUUCUGGCUUAUAGAUACUUAAUGUAACCUAUUUCCUAAAAAAAACUCCUAAAUGCAACAAAUUCAAACUUCACAUAAUUGUAAACAAUUAACAUUAGUUAAAUUUUUUACAGGUCAAACCUAUUUCUAUUCUCUUAAAAAUAUCUAUUACAAAUUUAGGCCUUCAACAUUAAGCAGGACAUAUCAUCAAACUUCAUGCCUCUCACUAACACUAAGUUGACCAUUGUCCUACUUAUAGCCUUGUAUACAUGUUUUAAAAUAAUUACAAGAAAUUUGAAGAUGUGCCUAUACUCUUUGUCAGGCACAAGAUGAUUAAUGAUCCGACAUAUUAUCUAAUUUCCCAUACUCAUUGACAGUUUCCUAAACUCUAAUACUCAUUGAUAUUUUGAUAAGUUUCUAUAAAGUUAAGCUCGAUUUGCAGUUAACUUUUCUUAAUAUGUUCUAUAUUUGUAAACUUAAACUGUUCAACUCAGAUCAAAACCAAAGGUCAUCAUUGGAUUGGGUAAAGCGUUUUGAAAUCAUUUGUGGGAUUGCUCGAGGUGUUUUAUAUCUUCACCAAGAUUCAAGGCUGAAAAUAAUUCAUAGAGAUCUAAAAGCCAGCAAUGUUCUCCUUGACGCUGCAAUGAAUCCCAAAAUCUCAGAUUUUGGUAUGGCUAGAAUAUUUGGAGAAGAUGAAAUCCAAGCAAGAACAAAAAGAGUGGUCGGAACAUAGUAUGUGUCACACACUUAUAUCACGAAAAUAUACAGAUGGAUAUGUAUUUUUAUGAUACUCUAACCAUUUUGUUUAAUUGCAGUGGAUAUAUGUCACCAGAAUAUGCAAUGGAAGGACGAUAUUCAACAAAAUCUGAUGUCUUCAGUUAUGGGGUCUUACUACUGGAGAUUAUUGCUGGCAAGAGAAACACACAUUGUGAAAUUGGAAGAGACUCCCCAAAUUUAAUUGGACAUGUAAGUUACAUAUAAUAAAAAGAGUAGCCUUAAAAUUGGCCAACAAUCUAAUGAUGCAUGACAUGACAUAUUUAUUUAAAAAUUGUGUUGUGCAUUUAUAGGUGUGGACACUAUGGACAGAAGAAAGAGCCUUGGAUAUUGUUGAUCCAGCACUAAACCAGUCUUAUCCUCUUGAUAUAGUUCUGAGAUGCAUUCAAAUUGGACUUUUGUGUGUGCAAGAAAAUGCAAUUAAUAGACCAUCAAUGUUAGAAAUUGUUUUCAUGCUAUGCAAUGAAACACCUCUCUGCCCACCUCAAAAACCAGCAUUUUAUUCAAUGGCAACCAUGAAUUGCAAGAACCAUCAACAUCAGGAUCUUCAAUAAAUGAAGUAACAGAAACUACUAUCAGUGCUCGCUAAAAGAUACCUUAAUCAAAUAUGUAAAUUUUUGGUUUAUACUUUCACCUUGAAAUUUAGUUUGUAGACAUUUCUAGAGGUUCUUGAGAAACAAGUAAGUCACGUUAUGGUAUUGCAAAAGAGUGGUGAUAUUUGAACAACUAUUUGAUACAACUUUUGUGACAAUUUCUUUUUUUUCUCUUUUCAUUAGUUAAAAACAAUGGAGAGAGAAAAAGAAGAGAGAGAAUAAGAGUAUAAUGUGAGUNAACCCUAAUUUAAUGUCUUUAGUCAUUUUUUACAUAUUUUAAUUUUAUUUUGGGUUGUUUCAUUUAAUAAUAGGGUUUAAAACUACAUGUUCAUGAAAUUGUGCAUAAAAAAUAGCGAAAAAUAUGUAUUCAAUUUUUUAUUAUAUUAAAAUAGACCCAUAAUACAAUUUUUUGCGAAGUGUGUUAGAUUAUUAUUAUUUUUGCUAGAUUAUUAGAACUAAAAACAAUAUUGAGGGAGUAAAGUGUAGAUUUUAUUAUAAGAGGGGAGAGGAAUGUAAUUCAAGCUUGGGGAGGGGUGUGUAAAAUUUUCUGAUAUGUUUUGAAUAAGAGGGGAGGGGAUUGUGUAUUUUAUGAUAAGAGGGGAGGGGGGGUGUAAUUUACUCUUAUAAUUUUCACCUCUCAAGAAAAAAAGUUUAUAAUUUACAGUUAAUUUUCACCUUUUUUUUUUUUUUGAAGGAAGUUAAUUUUCACUUAACUCGGUUAAAGAAUACUCCCUCCGUUCCUUUUUAAGUGUCACUUUUGGAGAAAAUUUUUGUUCCUAUUUAAUUGUAAUUUUCAAAGUUCAAUGCAACAUUAAAUGUUGUUUUAACAAUAUUCUCUUUAGUUAUUUAUAGCGGAGAGAGAAAUAUAUGAAAUGAGAUAUUGAAUUAAUAAGGUCAUUAUAGUAAAAGUAUAGCUUAUUGCAUCAAAAGUAGUAUCAAAUGUUUAUUGUCUUGGUUUGUGUAAAAUGUCAAAAUGUGACAAUUAAAAAGUAAAAUGUCAAAAUAUGACAAUUAAAAAGGAACGGAGGUAGUAAUUAUUAACAAAAAAAUUAAUUGCAAAAAUACUCAUACCUUCUCAGUCGAGAUCCAAGCUGUGUUGUGUUUAGUGUUCCCUCCACUCUCUUUUUUGUUGGCGAAUCUUCAUUAGAAUUUCCAAUGUUCAAGUACGGGUUGCAACCAAGUGGAACACCAUGUUCUCUCGACACGACGCGUGCUGCAAGAUAGAGAAUACGCCGGCGACUGAUACUUCCCUCGCCGCACAUUUCCUUCACAAAGAACGAAGCACCGGUAAUCACAGCUUGACAGGUUAGUGUUUGUAGUUCGUUCAAUCGGCAAGGGUAUUAUGGUAAACUACAACUAUAUAACGGGACAAACGGUCAUUUCGGUAGCUAAAUGUGUAAGAAUAACCAAAAUAGUCUCAUUCAAAUAGUCCUUCAAUACUCACAUUAACUCUUUAUAUAGGACCUAUAAAGCACGGACACUCCUUACCUUAGACGUGUCCCGGUGUAGGACAUGUGUCGUGUACUCGUGUUCGACACCGACACCUAUAAUUACACUAAAUUAUGUGACUUUUUCAAUUAUUAAUGGUGUCGGCGUGUCUGGAUCCGUGUUUGUAUCCGUACUUUAUAGUAUAGGACUGAAAUGACAAUGAGUAAGUAGUUUUACGGACCGAUAAAACAAUAAGUAAGUAUAUUGAAGGACUAAUAUGACAAUAUUAACCAGUUAUUUUAAUCUCAAGACUAUUUUGACUAAGGAAGUGUGCAAUUUAAGAUUAUAUUAAAAUUUUGAUACGUUGAGAGACUACUAUGGCUACUUGUUACAUAUUCGGGGAUUGGUCGCUUGUAGUGCUAAUCAUGAUAAACAAUUAUAGCAAAAUAUAAAUGAAAGUUAGUUUGUUUUAGUAUAUGUUAUAAGCUGUUUUAUUAAGCUAUGGUUGAAAACUUAUAAAAGUAAGACUAAAAAAGCUUAUGAAAUAUAGACCCUGCUCGAUUACCGAUUUCAUUUUGCUAUCCGUUUUGGUAAGGCCUUGAAUUUGCCAGGAAAUUUACCAUCGCUUAUACAUGUCACUGUAACGACGGACCAUGAGUCCAUGACCCAUUGAGGUACGUAGCUAACUGCCAAGCUCAACUUGCAUGCAUAAAAAGCAUCCUUUAUUAGAUACUUACGGGUCAAUCUUUGUGUCUGUGUAGUCAAAUACUGCUCACUUGCAUGCAUAAAAAGCGUCCUUGUUUAUGCUUCUUAAUUAGCAUGUACUAUUUGGAAAUCAAAAUUACCAACGUGAAAACCCAUGUUUGAUCAGAAACCAUAUAAUUAUUUACCUUCUUAUGAACACAUGUUUAUUGUCUUACCACCGUGUUCUCAAACACACAAUUAAUCAUGUUGAGUUGUAUUCAAUUUAAAUGAGAAUCAUCGACCCAAUAAUUUUUUCAUAAUGAGGCCUAAAAAAAUUAUAAUAUAUCAUAUAUUUUUUUGUCUACAGCCCUUUUAUUUAUAAACUAUAAUAAAAAUUAUUAAUCUUUUGUUGAUAGACCUAAAACGAGGAUUUUAGUUUCCUAUCUACUUACCUGUGGUUACUUUUCUUCAUUGAUUUUAUUUUCCCACUUUCUCAUGUGUCAGUGUCACUGACCCAUUGUGUGGAAAAUAUAACAAAGCAUCAUCAUGUCCUGUUGAGCAGGGGUACAAUUUUGUUUCAGUUAGAAUAGUUCAAUUAUCUCUUCAUGAAAUGCAAGAGGGGUAUGAUAGAAAAACUCAAUGGACUCUGCUAAAAAUCUUCUCUACCUUAGCACAGUCGAAAAUCAUAAAAACAAAUUGUUAGUGUUAGAUUACUCUUUGAUUCUACUAUGUCUCACCUUAUCUUUUUGCCCUUGUUCUUCUGAUACCAUAACUAUUCACAAACCCAUAAGAGAUGGUGAACUUCUCAUUUCUAAAUCUAAAACAUUUGCUCUUGGAUUCUUCACUCCAGGAAAGUCCACCUCUCGCUAUGUUGGAAUCUGGUACAACAAUUUGCCGAUCCAAACUGUUGUUUGGGUUGCAAAUAGAGAUGCUCCCAUCAAUGACACUUCUGGAAUUCUAUCAAUCAACCAAAAUGGGAAUCUAGAACUCCACCACAACCUUAGCACCAUUCCCAUUUGGUCUACCAAUGUUUCAUUAACACAGUCACAAAGAAAUAACACCAAUGUUAUAGCUCAACUAUUGGAUAUAGGAAACCUUGUUCUGAGGUUAAACGACACCGAAACUGCCAUCUGGGAAAGCUUUGAUCAUCCCACAGACACAAUGCUUCCGUAUCAAAAGAUUGGUUUUGAUAGAAAAAUUAAUCAAAGUUGGGUCCUUCAAUCCUGGAAGACAGAUGAUGACCCUGGAAAAGGUGCGUUCACGGUGAAAUUCAGCACCAUUGGCAAACCACAAUUGUUUAUGUACAACCAUGAUCGUCCUUGGUGGCGUGGUGGACAUUGGAAUGGAGCAAUAUUAGUAGGCCUACCUCAUAUGAUAGGAGAUAUGGCAGUUCGUAAUGUUUCUUGGGUUGAAGAUGACAACUAUGUAUCACUCUCAUAUAACAUGUUUAAUAAGUCUGUCAUUACAAGGAUAGUGGUUCAGCAAUCUGGUUUCUUUCAAACAUUCAUGUGGGACAGUCAAGAGAGUCAAUGGAGCCGGUACUGGUCUGAACCAACAGACCAAUGUGCUAACUACGGAACAUGUGGACCAAACAGUAAUUGUGACCCUUUGAACUUUGAGAGCUUUAAGUGUACUUGUUUACUUGGUUUUGAACCAAAAUUUCCACGUGAUUGGUAUGAGAGUAGAGAUGGGUUGGGAGGAUGUGUAAGAAAAAGAGGUGCAUCUGUUUGUGGGAAUGGAGAAGGGUUUAACAAAGUUUUAAGGGUGAAAGUUCCUGAUAUAUCUGGGGCAGUUGCCAUAGAUGGUUUGACUUUGGAAGAAUGUGAGAAAGAUUGCUUGAGAAACUGUUCUUGUAAUGCCUAUGCAGUUGCUGAUGUGAGGAAUGGUGGUAGUGGAUGUUUGACGUGGCAUGGGAAUUUAAUGGACAUUCAAAAACUUAGUAAUCAGGGCCAAGAUUUAUUUUUGCGCGUCGAGAAAGUUGAACUUGGUAAGAUAUUCCCUCCUACUGUUUUUUUUUUUUUUUGUUUAUAAAUUUGACACCACUUUUAAGUGUAGUUUAAACUUCUUUGGACUUGUUUUUUCUUAUCAGCUAAUUACAACAAAAAAAGCAAAGGAGUCCUUGAUAAAAAGAGGUUAGCUGCAAUUCUUGUAGCUUCUAUAGUUGCAAUUGUCAUCCUCCUCUUCUGUGUGAAUUACAUGUGGAAGAAAAAGAGAAAGGGNCCAAGAUUCAAGGCUGAAAAUAAUUCAUAGAGAUCUAAAAGCCAGCAAUGUUCUCCUUGACGCUGCAAUGAAUCCCAAAAUCUCAGAUUUUGGUAUGGCUAGAAUAUUUGGAGAAGAUGAAAUCCAAGCAAGAACAAAAAGAGUGGUCGGAACAUAGUAUGUGUCACACACUUAUAUCACGAAAAUAUACAGAUGGAUAUGUAUUUUUAUGAUACUCUAACCAUUUUGUUUAAUUGCAGUGGAUAUAUGUCACCAGAAUAUGCAAUGGAAGGACGAUAUUCAACAAAAUCUGAUGUCUUCAGUUAUGGGGUCUUACUACUGGAGAUUAUUGCUGGCAAGAGAAACACACAUUGUGAAAUUGGAAGAGACUCCCCAAAUUUAAUUGGACAUGUAAGUUACAUAUAAUAAAAAGAGUAGCCUUAAAAUUGGCCAACAAUCUAAUGAUGCAUGACAUGACAUAUUUAUUUAAAAAUUGUGUUGUGCAUUUAUAGGUGUGGACACUAUGGACAGAAGAAAGAGCCUUGGAUAUUGUUGAUCCAGCACUAAACCAGUCUUAUCCUCUUGAUAUAGUUCUGAGAUGCAUUCAAAUUGGACUUUUGUGUGUGCAAGAAAAUGCAAUUAAUAGACCAUCAAUGUUAGAAAUUGUUUUCAUGCUAUGCAAUGAAACACCUCUCUGCCCACCUCAAAAACCAGCAUUUUAUUCAAUGGCAACCAUGAAUUGCAAGAACCAUCAACAUCAGGAUCUUCAAUAAAUGAAGUAACAGAAACUACUAUCAGUGCUCGCUAAAAGAUACCUUAAUCAAAUAUGUAAAUUUUUGGUUUAUACUUUCACCUUGAAAUUUAGUUUGUAGACAUUUCUAGAGGUUCUUGAGAAACAAGUAAGUCACGUUAUGGUAUUGCAAAAGAGUGGUGAUAUUUGAACAACUAUUUGAUACAACUUUUGUGACAAUUUCUUUUUUUUCUCUUUUCAUUAGUUAAAAACAAUGGAGAGAGAAAAAGAAGAGAGAGAAUAAGAGUAUAAUGUGAGUAUGAGAGAGAAAAUUAUCAUAAAGUGGUUGUAUAAAUAUCAUUUCUCACUGUAAAAUGAAUAAUUUGAGUAUGUCUCCAUUUCAAUAAGCUUAUCGGUUAGAAGUAAUAUACAGAAAUAUAGCUGUUCAAUAGUAGUAGAGAUAGGUACAACAACUAGCGUAAACAAACGAUCGUGUUUCAUUGUCUUGGGAAAUUCUAAAGGUAAUUAAUUACUCAUAGUGAAUCCACUUAAAAAAAUCAAAUGGUUCAAUCGUUGUCAUUCAAUAUUAAAAACUAAUUAAUAAAUACUUCUAUUGCAAAUAUAGUCAUUAUAAAAAAAAACAAACUAAAAAUUAUAUGGCUUAAUUGCACUUUUUGCACCCUAUCUUUUCAAAAGUUGCGAUUUUGGCCCUCUAACUAAUUAAAAUACAAAACAGCCCCCUAUUUAUUGAAUCUUUGGCAGUUUUGGCCCCCAAAGUCACUUUUAACUUAGUCUGCGCUGACGUGGCACCCAUAUCCCUUAAGUGAGGUGCCACGUGUCGACCAUUGUGGGUGCCACGUCAGCGAAGACUAAGUCAAACGUGGUCUUGGAGACCAAAACUGCAAAAGAUUCAAUACAUAUGGGUUGUUUUGUAUUUUAAUUAGUUAGGGGUGAAAAUCGCAACUUUUGGAAAGAUAGGGGGCCAAAAGUGCAAUUAAGCCAAAUUAUAUUUCACAUAGGAAAGAGUUUAAAUAUAAACCAACCGCGUAAAUAUGUUUUACACUGUCGUUCAAAAAGAAACCAUCGUAUUGUCAUGUAUGUAUAUUUAUAACCAAUUUUUCAAAAAUAAGUUAAAUAUAUUUUCCGUCCAGACAAAAAAGAAUUGCACGGAAAUUUGGACCCUACUCUUAAUUCAACAUAUAUUUUGAUUGACUUUUUUUGCUAACAUGUUUAAAAUAUUAUAAAAAGUUCCUAUAAAAAUAUGAGCUUAAAAAUUGAUUUCUAGGUCGAGAUUUGUAUUACUUUUAUUAUGAAUUUUUGACGUUUCAUAAUCAUAUUUAAUUCAUUUGAUGUUAAAAAAAUUUAGAUGAAUAUUUUAUAAUACACAUCCAAAAAAAAAAUUCAAAAAUUUAGUUUUUGAAAAAAUAAAACUGCAAGUAGGAGUACUCAUGAACAUAGCUCGAUUGGUAAGAAUAUUGCAUAAUAUAUACAAGAGUCGGAGUUCAAAGCUCUAACACCUUACUUAUUCACCUUAUAAGAGAAUUUCUAGCCACCAAACUAUUUAAAAAAAAAAAAAAAACUGCUAGAAAAUUUGUUUAGAAAUGAAAAUGUGCCGCAUGUAAAAAUCUUAAAACAAAAACAUAUGGGUCAAUGCUAAUCUAAACAUGUUUAGAAUAUAUGAUAGGGUCUCGCUAACUAGAGCAUUUGUUAAAGAUACAAAAAUAGAAAUAAUAAGUAAAAAAAUUUUUUUUUUAAGUUUUAAUAUAUUGAAUCCACUAUUUUCAAGAUAAAUUUUUUUCUUUAAACUUCUUAACAAAUGCGCACUUGUUAGCAUUUGACAAUUUAUGAAGAAGAAAAAUGAAAACUUGACAAAUUCGAUGGAAAAAUUUUAUAUUUAACUCUUAAACCCCAAUCUAAAAUCCUCUAAAAAAAUCCCAAUAUAAAAUGGUUUAUAGUUUUUUUUUUACCAUGUAUACUUUUUUUUGAAGAAUUUCACUUAACUCUGAAAAAAUAAUUAUUAACAAAAUUAUAAUUGCAAAAACACUCAUACCUUCUAAGUCAACAAUAUCCAAGAGUGUUCUCUCCACUCUCGCUUCUGUUGGUUGAAUCAUCAUUAGAACUUCUCCAUGUAUCGUACCUCAAGCCAUUCCCAAUGUUCAGGUACGGGUUGCAACCAAGUGGAACACCAUGUUCUCUGGACACGACGCGUGUGCUGCAAGACAGAGAAUACGCCGGCGACUGAUACUUCCCUCGCCGCACAUUUCCUUCACAAAGAACGAAGCACCGCUGGUAAUCACAGUUUCACAAGUUAGUGUUUGCACAAGGGUAAUAUGGUAAACUUCAAAUAAAUAAUAUAUAUUUAAUUUUAGAGCUUGUAUAAAACAGCUUAUGCACAUUGCUAACUGUAGUCUGCAACGACAGACCAUGACCCAUAUUGAGGUACAUUGCUAACUGCCAAGCUUAACAUGCAUGCAUAAAAAGCCUCCUUUAUUAUUAGAUUAGAUACUUACGGGUCAAAUGCAUGCAUCAAAAGCGUCCUUGUUUAUGCUUCUUAGCAUGUAGUACUAUUUUGGAAAUCAAAAUUACCAACAUGAAAACUCAUGUUUGACCAGAAACAAUAGUAAUUAUUUACCUUCUUAUGAACACAUGUUUAUUGUCUUACCACCGUGUUGAGUUGUAUUCAAUUGAAAUGAGAAUCAUCGACCUAAUAAUUUUUCAUAAUGAGGCCUAAUACAAAUUUUAAUAUAUCAUAUAUUUUUUUGUCUACAGCCCUUUUAUUUAUAAACUAUAAUAAAAAUUAUUAAUCUUUUGUUGAUAGACCUAAAACGAGGAUUUUAGUUUCCUAUCUACUUACCUGUGGUUACUUUUCUUCAUUGAUUUUAUUUUCCCACUUUCUCAUGUGUCAGUGUCACUGACCCAUUGUGUGGAAAAUAUAACAAAGCAUCAUCAUGUCCUGUUGAGCAGGGGUACAAUUUUGUUUCAGUUAGAAUAGUUCAAUUAUCUCUUCAUGAAAUGCAAGAGGGGUAUGAUAGAAAAACUCAAUGGACUCUGCUAAAAAUCUUCUCUACCUUAGCACAGUCGAAAAUCAUAAAAACAAAUUGUUAGUGUUAGAUUACUCUUUGAUUCUACUAUGUCUCACCUUAUCUUUUUGCCCUUGUUCUUCUGAUACCAUAACUAUUCACAAACCCAUAAGAGAUGGUGAACUUCUCAUUUCUAAAUCUAAAACAUUUGCUCUUGGAUUCUUCACUCCAGGAAAGUCCACCUCUCGCUAUGUUGGAAUCUGGUACAACAAUUUGCCGAUCCAAACUGUUGUUUGGGUUGCAAAUAGAGAUGCUCCCAUCAAUGACACUUCUGGAAUUCUAUCAAUCAACCAAAAUGGGAAUCUAGAACUCCACCACAACCUUAGCACCAUUCCCAUUUGGUCUACCAAUGUUUCAUUAACACAGUCACAAAGAAAUAACACCAAUGUUAUAGCUCAACUAUUGGAUAUAGGAAACCUUGUUCUGAGGUUAAACGACACCGAAACUGCCAUCUGGGAAAGCUUUGAUCAUCCCACAGACACAAUGCUUCCGUAUCAAAAGAUUGGUUUUGAUAGAAAAAUUAAUCAAAGUUGGGUCCUUCAAUCCUGGAAGACAGAUGAUGACCCUGGAAAAGGUGCGUUCACGGUGAAAUUCAGCACCAUUGGCAAACCACAAUUGUUUAUGUACAACCAUGAUCGUCCUUGGUGGCGUGGUGGACAUUGGAAUGGAGCAAUAUUAGUAGGCCUACCUCAUAUGAUAGGAGAUAUGGCAGUUCGUAAUGUUUCUUGGGUUGAAGAUGACAACUAUGUAUCACUCUCAUAUAACAUGUUUAAUAAGUCUGUCAUUACAAGGAUAGUGGUUCAGCAAUCUGGUUUCUUUCAAACAUUCAUGUGGGACAGUCAAGAGAGUCAAUGGAGCCGGUACUGGUCUGAACCAACAGACCAAUGUGCUAACUACGGAACAUGUGGACCAAACAGUAAUUGUGACCCUUUGAACUUUGAGAGCUUUAAGUGUACUUGUUUACUUGGUUUUGAACCAAAAUUUCCACGUGAUUGGUAUGAGAGUAGAGAUGGGUUGGGAGGAUGUGUAAGAAAAAGAGGUGCAUCUGUUUGUGGGAAUGGAGAAGGGUUUAACAAAGUUUUAAGGGUGAAAGUUCCUGAUAUAUCUGGGGCAGUUGCCAUAGAUGGUUUGACUUUGGAAGAAUGUGAGAAAGAUUGCUUGAGAAACUGUUCUUGUAAUGCCUAUGCAGUUGCUGAUGUGAGGAAUGGUGGUAGUGGAUGUUUGACGUGGCAUGGGAAUUUAAUGGACAUUCAAAAACUUAGUAAUCAGGGCCAAGAUUUAUUUUUGCGCGUCGAGAAAGUUGAACUUGGUAAGAUAUUCCCUCCUACUGUUUUUUUUUUUUUUUGUUUAUAAAUUUGACACCACUUUUAAGUGUAGUUUAAACUUCUUUGGACUUGUUUUUUCUUAUCAGCUAAUUACAACAAAAAAAGCAAAGGAGUCCUUGAUAAAAAGAGGUUAGCUGCAAUUCUUGUAGCUUCUAUAGUUGCAAUUGUCAUCCUCCUCUUCUGUGUGAAUUACAUGUGGAAGAAAAAGAGAAAGGGUAUGUGAUUUAUUUUUUGGGAUGAUAUCCCCUAUUCUUAUAUUUUUUGAGUGGUUGCCAUUUGAUUCUGAACUGUCUCUACCACACCACACUCCCCAAGUCCCAACACAGACUUAGAAACACACGCCACACAAAUGAUGAGACUUUAAAGGGGGCCGAUUUAUGCCAAUUCUUUGGUCAUUUGGAUAUUCUGUGUGCCAAUCCAGACUGAAGUGUUUUAUCAGCAGUUCUAACCAUGUUUUGAUUAAGUUGGUCUAUCAAUGUUAUACAAACAAUCUCUUCAAAUUUCCUUAGCAACUGCUAAUAAUUGUUGUUGUUGUUGAGCGACCAUUACACGUACAACACUAGAAAAAUGUAAAAUAUAAGAUUUUUUUGGAGAACCAAAAAGAAAUAUACCUUAUCAAAAUGUUUAAGUUGAUUGAAAUCUUACCUUAUGUCAUUUGUAACUUCAGAUAAAAUGAUGCCGCAACCAAACCAAGAUUCCUCUGGGGAAGAGAAUGAUACCCAAAGCAACACGCAUCCAAAUCUACCCUUUUUCAGCUUUAAAACGAUAAUGACAGCUACAAGAAAUUGUGAUCUUGAGAAUAAGCUUGGACAAGGUGGAUUUGGCUCUGUCUAUAAGGUAAGUGAAACUCUACAUUGAGAUACUCAUGCAAAAAGUGACAAUAUCCUUAGCCUCUUUAUAUUCAUUUCACUUGCAUUAUUAAAAAAUAGUGCAAAAAUAAUGAAAUGGGAUUUAAGAGACAAACAUUUCAGGGCUUUUUGGAAAAUGGACAAGAGAUAGCAGUGAAAAGAUUGUCCAGAGAUUCUGGUCAAGGCAAAGAAGAGUUUAAGAAUGAAAUUAAACUUUUAGUUAAACUCCAACACAGAAAUCUAGUGAGGUUGCUCGGUUGUUGCUUUGAAAAAGAAGAAAGGAUGCUAGUUUACGAAUACCUAUCAAACAAAAGCCUAGACUUCUUUAUAUUCGGUAUGCCUCUCUCUGAAUCAAUCAUUGUCUCUCUAACCUGAAUAAACUUGUAGUUAGACAAGCAUAGAGCAUAUAGACUUAAUGUAACCUGUAACUUAAGGGCAUAUGCUAAUUCUGGCAUAUAGCUACUCAAUGUAAAUUGUUUUACAAAAAAAAAAACUACUCAAGGUGACAAACUCAAACUUCACAUAAUUGUAAACAAUUAACAUUAAUUCAAUUUUUUAAAGUAAGAAUGCAAUUUUGAGAACAUAUGGUUGAUCCAGCACUAAACCAGUCUUAUCUUCCUAAUAGAAGGUACAUAACAUCAAACUUGAUGCCUUUCACUAACACUAAUUUGAGUGUUGGCCUAUUUAUAGCCUGUAUAGAUGUUUUACAUCCUUGUAUGUUUUAAAAUAAUUACAAGAAAUUUGCAGAUGUGCCUACACUCCUUGUCGGGUACAAGAUGAUUGAUGAUCCAGCAUAUUAUCUACUGUCUUUCAUACACUUAUUGACAGUUUGCUAAAUUCUAUAUUUUCAUGGUUAUGUGGAAAUAAUGACUUCCUUGUCUUCCUGAUAUAUAUAAAUGAAAUUUUAUUUUCCUUUUCCCAUUACAUAUACUUGAUAAGUUCCUAUGAAGUUAAGCUCAAUAUGCAAUUAAUGAUUGCUAAUAUGCUCAACUCAGAUCAAAACCAAAGGUCAUCAUUGGAUUGGGUUACGCGUUUUGAAAUUAUUUGUGGGAUUGCUCGAGGUGUAUUAUAUCUUCAUCAAGAUUCAAGGCUGAAAAUAAUCCAUAGAGAUCUAAAAGCCAGCAACGUUCUCCUUGAUGCUGUAAUGAAUCCCAAAAUCUCGGAUUUUGGUAUGGCUAGAAUAUUUGGAGAAGAUGAAAUUCAAGCUAGAACAAAAAGAGUUGUUGGAACAUAGUAUGUGUGAUGCCCUUAUGAUACUCCAACUAUUUUGUAAAGUUGUAGUGGCUUUAGAGAUUGAUCUGUAUUUUUAUGAUGCUAUAGCUAUUUUGUAUAAUUGCAGUGGAUAUAUGUCUCCGGAAUAUGCAAUGCAAGGACGAUAUUCAACAAAAUCUGAUGUCUUCAGUUAUGGGGUCUUACUACUGGAGAUUAUUGCUGGCAAGAGAAACACACAUUGUGAGACAGGAAGAGACUCCCCAAAUUUAAUUGGACAUGUAAGUUAUAUAUAAUAAAAAGAGUGGCCUUAAAAUUGGCCGAUAAUUUAAUGGUGCAUGAUGUACUUAUUUAAUCAUUAUGUUAUGCAUUUGUAGGUGUGGACACUAUGGACAGAAGGAAAAGCCUUGGAUAUGGUUGAUCAAGCACUAAACCAUUAUUAUUCUUCUGCUAUAGUUCUAAGAUGCAUUCAAAUUGGACUCUUGUGUGUGCAAGAAAAUGCAAUUAAUAGACCGUCAAUGUUAGAUGUUGUUUUCAUGCUAUGCAAUGAAACACCUCUUUGCCCACCUCAAAAACCAGCAUUUUUAUUCAAUGUACGCCAAGAUUUGCCAGAGUCGUCAACUUCAGGAGGAGGAUCUUCAAUAAAUGAACUAACAGAAACUACCAUCAGCGCUCGCUGAAAACUACCAUCAGCAUUUUUGAAUACUGUACCUUUGACAAACUCUUUUGACCUUUUGAAUUAUUUGAAUAACACUUCGGAUCGGGAGGCUAUGGUUGAGGAACUGAAUAGUGGCUUUGACUUCACCAAUGUGAAUAAAGCUGCUAUUCAAUCUUUGGUUGUAAGCCCCAAGUUAACUAGCUAUUCAGAGAACAUGGUCAUAGGUACCUCUAUUGCUGAUUUAACUAUGGAGUCUCUGCAGCAACCAAUGCCUCAGCCUAUCACUACCAAUUACAUCUCUCUGACAUGUGACAAGCUUCCUGUUUUUCCUGUCUUGAAACCUGUGAAUUCUAGAUUGGAAGCUGCAGCUGCUUCAUCUGCAGCAGCUCAGAACAGUGUGGCCAUUCUGCCAAAGUCUUGGGGAGACCUUAUUGAUGAAGAAACUGAUACUACCUUAGAGAAGGAGCUAGCUUUCCACCUAGUGGAGAAUUCAUCUAUUUGUCUAGAUAGUCAAGUCUUAAAUUUGUGUCCUGAUAGAAGUGUUCACACUAGUAAUUUGAUGGAUAUGAAUGCUGAGAUGUUGGUAACAGUACCAAAAGACACCAGCAUUGUUCCUACCCAUAGUGAUGCUGCUUAAGAAGUGUUGAAAUUUUAAAAAAGGUCUGGGGGGAUACUCCAUCUGCUGAUCAGGAUCAGAUAGACAAAGAGGAUGAUGGUAAAACUGAUAAGUCUUUUACUCCUUUUGUCUCAAAUAGACAGAAGAAGAAUAAAUUGCAGCUGUCUAAAGGGCUGAAAGAUGAUUGCAUUCCUUAAUCUAAUAUGUAAAUUUUGGUUUAUACUUGCACCUUGGAAUUGAGUUUGCAGACAUUCAUAGAGGUUUAUACUAAGUAUUUAUUAGUAUGAUGUAAAUUAUGUCCAUUUCAAUAAGCUUAUCAGUUGGAGUUGGUGUGUUUCAUUGUCUUGUGAUUUUCAUUUUCUUCAAAUUAAAAUUAUGAAAAUAAUCAUUGCAAAAGCCAAGGAAAUGAAAUCAACUCAUAUGCCAUUUGAGGCCAAAGAAUAGUAGUAAAAUUUUAGUCCACCUAAAUUGACACCGAGAAUAAUCGAACAUGAGACCUUGAGAAAGAGCACACUCGCAAGUCUCAAUCUAAUACCAUCAGACCAACCCUAGUGGUUCUUUGUCAUUCAAUAUUAAAACCUACUAAUAAAUACUUCUAUUACAAAUAUAAUCAUUAUCAAAAUAACAAUGUAAAAAUUAAAUUUCACAUAGAAAAGAGUUUAAUAGAUAUAAACCAACCGUGUAAAUAAGUUUUACACCAUCUUUCAAAAAGAAACCAUCAUAUUUUCAUAGAUGUAUAUUUUAUAACCCGGUUUUUUAAAAUAAGUUAAUAUAUUUUUCGUGCAUACAAAAUUAUUAACUUUCGUUUUUUUUGACCCAUGAAUGUUUUCAUCCCUAAAAGAACGAAUUGAUGGAAAUUUGGACGCUACUCUUAAUUCAACAUAUAUUUUGAUUGACUUUUUUUUCAAACAUGUUUAAAAUAUUAUAAAAAGUUCAUCCGAAAAAAAUGAGUUUAAAAACUGAUUUGUAGGUCGAGAUUUUUGUUAUUUUUAUCAUGAAUUUUCAACGUUUCAUAAUCAUAUUUAAUCCUCCUUCAAAAAAAAAAAUCAUACUUAAUUCAUUUGAUGUUUAAAAAUUCUAAAAAUUUUAAAUGAAUAUUUUAUAAUGUUUUAAACAUAUCCAAAAAAAAUCAUUCAAAAAUUUAAACGUUUUAAAAUAAUUAAACAAUUUUAGUUUUGGCAAAAAAUAAAACUGCGAGUAAGAGUACUGACCUUAGCUUAGUUGGAAUCGACAUUGCAUAAUAUAUGCAGAUGCCGGAGGACAUCUUAAUUAUUCACCUUAUAAAAGGAAAUUUCUAGUCACUAGACUUUUUUUAAUAUAAAGGUAAAAUAAAGCAAAUAUUAUAAUUUGAGUAAAUUACACUCCCCUCCCCUGAAAGAUGCUUGAAUUACACUCCCCUCUUAUGUUCAUUUUAUAAGAUGCUUGAAUUACAACUUCUCCCUUAAUAAUUAAAAAUGCUCUACACUUUAAUCUAUUUAACAUAAAUAAAUAUUUUUAUGAUAUAUUUUAAUUUUGAACUACCAUUUAAAAAAAAAUCAUUUCUUUAUAAUUUAAAUAUCAAUGAUAAUUAAAUUUUAAUAUUUUUCUAUUGAUUUUAUAAUUUAGAGUAUAAAAUUAACUUUUAAAUAACCCUAAUUUUAUGUCUUUAGUCAUUUUUUACAUAUUUUAAUUUUAUUUUGGGUUGUUUCAUUUAAUAAUAGGGUUUAAAACUACAUGUUCAUGAAAUUGUGCAUAAAAAAUAGCGAAAAAUAUGUAUUCAAUUUUUUAUUAUAUUAAAAUAGACCCAUAAUACAAUUUUUUGCGAAGUGUGUUAGAUUAUUAUUAUUUUUGCUAGAUUAUUAGAACUAAAAACAAUAUUGAGGGAGUAAAGUGUAGAUUUUAUUAUAAGAGGGGAGAGGAAUGUAAUUCAAGCUUGGGGAGGGGUGUGUAAAAUUUUCUGAUAUGUUUUGAAUAAGAGGGGAGGGGAUUGUGUAUUUUAUGAUAAGAGGGGAGGGGGGGUGUAAUUUACUCUUAUAAUUUUCACCUCUCAAGAAAAAAAGUUUAUAAUUUACAGUUAAUUUUCACCUUUUUUUUUUUUUUGAAGGAAGUUAAUUUUCACUUAACUCGGUUAAAGAAUACUCCCUCCGUUCCUUUUUAAGUGUCACUUUUGGAGAAAAUUUUUGUUCCUAUUUAAUUGUAAUUUUCAAAGUUCAAUGCAACAUUAAAUGUUGUUUUAACAAUAUUCUCUUUAGUUAUUUAUAGCGGAGAGAGAAAUAUAUGAAAUGAGAUAUUGAAUUAAUAAGGUCAUUAUAGUAAAAGUAUAGCUUAUUGCAUCAAAAGUAGUAUCAAAUGUUUAUUGUCUUGGUUUGUGUAAAAUGUCAAAAUGUGACAAUUAAAAAGUAAAAUGUCAAAAUAUGACAAUUAAAAAGGAACGGAGGUAGUAAUUAUUAACAAAAAAAUUAAUUGCAAAAAUACUCAUACCUUCUCAGUCGAGAUCCAAGCUGUGUUGUGUUUAGUGUUCCCUCCACUCUCUUUUUUGUUGGCGAAUCUUCAUUAGAAUUUCCAAUGUUCAAGUACGGGUUGCAACCAAGUGGAACACCAUGUUCUCUCGACACGACGCGUG
rnacentral:lncRNA from 1 species